rnacentral:rRNA from 1 species
ACGAACGCUGGCGGCGUGCUUAACACAUGCAAGUCGAACGGAAAGGCCCUGCUUGCAGGGUACUCGAGUGGCGAACGGGUGAGUAACACGUGGGUGAUCUGCCCUGCACUUCGGGAUAAGCUUGGGAAACUGGGUCUAAUACCGGAUAGGAGCCAUCUUUAGUGUGGUGGUUGGAAAGUUUUUUCGGUGUAGGAUGAGCUCGCGGCCUAUCAGCUUGUUGGUGGGGUAAUGGCCUACCAAGGCGGCGACGGGUAGCCGGCCUGAGAGGGUGUACGGCCACAUUGGGACUGAGAUACGGCCCAGACUCCUACGGGAGGCAGCAGGGGGGAAUAUUGCACAAUGGGCGCAAGCCUGAUGCAGCGACGCCGCGUGGGGGAUGAAGGCCUUCGGGUUGUAAACUCCUGUCGCUAGGGACGAAGCUUUUUUGUGACGGUACCUAGAGAAGAAGCACCGGCUAACUACGUG